rnacentral:rRNA from 1 species
AUUGAACGCUGGCGGCAGGCCUAACACAUGCAAGUCGAGCGAGCGGCGGACGGGUGAGUAAUGUAUGGGGACUGCCCGAUAGAGGGGGAUAACUACUGGAAACGGUAGCUAAUACAGCAUACUAUCGGAUAACCCAUAUGGGAUUAGCUAGUAGGUGAGGUAAUGGCUCACCUAGGCGACGCGCCCUAGCUGGUCUGAGAGGAUGACCAGCCACACUGGGACUGAGACACGGCCCAGACUCCUACGGUGGCAGCAGUGGGGAAUAUUGCACAAUGGGCGCAAGCCUGAUGCAGCCAUGCCGCGUGUAUGAAGAAGGCCCUAGGGUUGUAAAGUACUUUUGGCAGAGAAGCGGUAUCUGCAGAAUAAGCACCGGCUAACUACGUGCCAGCAGCCGCGGUAAUAC